CGCGUAGGCGGCCCUGUAAGUCCGUUGUGAAAGUCAAAGGCUCAACCUUUGAAAGCCGAUGGAUACUGCAGGGCUAGAGUCCGGAAGAGGCGAGUGGAAUUCCUGGUGUAGCGGUGGAAUGCGCAGAUAUCAGGAGGAACACCAAUAGCGAAGGCAGCUCGCUGGGACGGUACUGACGCUAAGGCGCGAAAGCGUGGGGAGCGAACAGGAUUAGAUACCCUGGUAGUCCACGCCGUAAACGAUGGGCACUAGGUGUGGGAGGUGUCGACUCCUCCCGUGCCGUCGCUAACGCACUAAGUGCCCCGCCUGGGGAGUACGGCCGCAAGGCUAAA
rnacentral:rRNA from 1 species